rnacentral:rRNA from 1 species
UCCAGCCAUGCCGCGUGAGUGAUGAAGGCCUUAGGGUCGUAAAGCUCUUUCGCCAGAGAUGAUAAUGACAGUAUCUGGUAAAGAAACCCCGGCUAACUCCGUGCCAGCAGCCGCGGUAAUACGGAGGGGGUUAGCGUUGUUCGGAAUUACUGGGCGUAAAGCGCGCGUAGGCGGAUUAGUCAGUUAGAGGUGAAAUCCCGGGGCUCAACCCCGGAACUGCCUUUAAUACUGCUAGUCUUGAGUUCGAGAGAGGUGAGUGGAAUUCCGAGUGUAGAGGUGAAAUUCGUAGAUAUUCGGAGGAACACCAGUGGCGAAGGCGGCUCACUGGCUCGAUACUGACGCUGAGGUGCGAAAGUGUGGGGAGCAAACAGGAUUAGAUACCCUGGUAGUCCACACCGUAAACGAUGAAUGCCAGUCGUCGGGUAGCAUGCUAUUCGGUGACACACCUAACGGAUUAAGCAUUCCGCCUGGGGAGUACGGUCGCAAGAUUAAAACUCAAAGGAAUUGACGGGG